CGGAGUGGCGGACGGGUGAGGAAUACAUCGGAAUCUACUCUGUCGUGGGGGAUAACGUAGGGAAACUUACGCUAAUACCGCAUACGACCUACGGGUGAAAGCAGGGGAUCUUCGGACCUUGCGCGAUUGAAUGAGCCGAUGUCGAAUUAGCUAGUUGGCGGGGUAAAGGCCCACCAAGGCGACGAUCCGUAGCUGGUCUGAGAGGAUGAUCAGCCACACUGGAACUGAGACACGGUCCAGACUCCUACGGGAGGCAGCAGGG
rnacentral:rRNA from 1 species